GACGAACGCUGGCGGCGUGCCUAACACAUGCAAGUCGUACGAGAAAGUCGGCUUCGGCCGGUGAGUAAAGUGGCGCACGGGUGAGUAACGCGUGGAUAAUCUGCCCUCCGGUCAGGAAUAACCAAUCGAAAGGUUGGCUAAUACCCGAUCACACUCUUGCACUGCGGUGCAAUAGUCAAAGAUGGCCUCUGUAUACAAGCUAUCGCCGGGGGAUGAGUCCGCGUACCAUUAGCUGGUUGGUGGGGUAAUGGCCUACCAAGGCGAUGAUGGUUAGCUGGUCUGAGAGGAUGGCCAGCCACACUGGAACUGAGACACGGUCCAGACUCCUACGGGAGGCAGCAGUGAGGAAUCUUGCGCAAUGGGGGAAACCCUGACGCAGCAACGCCGCGUGAGUGAGGAAGGCCCUCGGGUCGUAAAGCUCUGUCAGGUGGGAAGAAAUCGAUGAAGGUGAACAACCUCCAUCCUUGGCGGUACCACCAGAGGAAGCACC
rnacentral:rRNA from 1 species